rnacentral:tRNA from 1 species
GCGCCGGUAGCUCAGUGGAUAGAGCGCCGCCCUGCGGAGGCGGAGGUCCCGCGUUCAAAUCGCGGCCGGCGUACCA